rnacentral:rRNA from 1 species
GCUUAGCCCUUAACAUAGAUAGUAAACACACAAUACUAUCCGCCAGAGAACUACAAGUGAAAAACUAGAAACUCUAAGGACUUGGCGGUGCUCCAUACCGUCCUAGAGGAGCCUGUCCUAUAAUCGAUAACCCACGUUUUACCUCACCAUUCCUUGCAAAUCAGCCUAUAUACCGCCGUCGUAAGCCUACCUUAUGAAAGAAUCAAAGUAGGCAAAAUAGUCAUUAACUAAAACGUCAGGUCAAGGUGUAGCUAAUGAAAUGGAAGAGAUGGGCUACACUUUCUAUCAUAGAACAUACGAAUAGCACAGUGAAACCUGUACUUAAAGGCGGAUUUAGUAGUAAUGUAAACAAGAAAAUUUACCUGAAACUCGCUCUGGAGCGCGC